rnacentral:rRNA from 1 species
GACGUAGGGUGCGAGCGUUGUCCGGAUUUAUUGGGCGUAAAGAGCUCGUAGGCGGCUUGUUGCGUCGACCGUGAAAACCCGGGGCUCAACUUCGGGCUUGCGGUCGAUACGGGCGGGCUAGAGUUCGGUAGGGGAGACUGGAAUUCCUGGUGUAGCGGUGAAAUGCGCAGAUAUCAGGAGGAACACCGGUGGCGAAGGCGGGUCUCUGGGCCGAUACUGACGCUGAGGAGCGAAAGCGUGGGGAGCGAACGGG